GAUGAACGCUGGCGGCGUGCCUAAUACAUGCAAGUCGAGCGAACAGACGAGGAGCUUGCUCCUUUGACGUUAGCGGCGGACGGGUGAGUAACACGUGGGUAACCUACCUAUAAGACUGGGAUAACUUCGGGAAACCGGAGCUAAUACCGGAUAAUAUUUCGAACCGCAUGGUUCGAUAGUGAAAGAUGGCUUUGCUAUCACUUAUAGAUGGACCUGCGCCGUAUUAGCUAGUUGGUAAGGUAACGGCUUACCAAGGCAACGAUACGUAGCCGACCUGAGAGGGUGAUCGGCCACACUGGAACUGAGACACGGUCCAAACUCCUACGGGAGGCAGCAGUAGGGAAUCUUCCGCAAUGGGCGAAAGCCUGACGGAGCAACGCCGCGUGAGUGAUGAAGGUCUUCGGAUCGUAAAACUCUGUUAUUAGGGAAGAACAAACGUGUAAGUAACUGUGCACGUCUUGACGGUACCUAAUCAGAAAGCCACGGCUAACUACGUG
rnacentral:rRNA from 1 species